CUCCAUUAUGCAAACAAAGUUUGUUUGAGAGGUUACAGAAGCGGCUGAUUAAUAAAUCCCCUCACCGUUUUCAGCAAUCAUCUCAACAGCUGAAGUUGAAGAUUACAAUUGACAUUCAGUCAAAGUACCAACAGCCAAGCGUGCAGACUGCUACUCAAAAACAUCAGAAAGCAUCUCUAGACACAGGAGACGGUUGUUUGCGUCAUUCCUAUGAGUGCAGAACAGACAUGCAUCACGUGACCGACAGAAACCAUGUGCACGAGAAGCCAGGGACCACAGCCAGAACACAACCCACCAUCCCAUCUGAGGAAAAUCCAUGUGAACUAAGCAUCUGCGUCCAGCCUCAGAUCGCUGUGGAAUACUUGAUCCUGAUUGGUCAGUUGCUGCAUCCAGUGCAUUGUUAUCCCCUGAUAACUGCUGAAAAGCUGCUGAUUGUUUGGAAAGGAGAAGAGAAGGGUUCAUAACUCUCGGCUGGGAGAGAGCAGCCCAUGAGAUGUGUUUGAAACUAACCAAUUUAAGUCAUAGCCUGGAGGGUCAGAAAGAACCAAAGGGCCUAUAAUUGGCAUCUUUCUUGUCUUAUUAAAAGAAAACACGUCCCUGUGGAAUCCUUAAGCUCAACCAGUUUCUGUGUGGAUCCCAACAAACACGCA
rnacentral:lncRNA from 1 species